UACGUAGGGUGCGAGCGUUGUCCGGAAUUAUUGGGCGUAAAGGGCUCGUAGGCGGUUUGUUGCGUCCGCUGUGAAAACCCGGGGCUUAACCCCGGGCUUGCAGUGGAUACGGGCAGACUAGAGGCAGGUAGGGGAGAAUGGAAUUCCCGGUGUAGCGGUGAAAUGCGUAGAGAUCGUAAGGAAGACCAGUAGCGAAGGCGGGUCUCUGGACAGUUCCUGACACUGAGGCGCGAAAGCCAGGGGAGCAAACGGG
rnacentral:rRNA from 1 species